AUUGAACGCUGGCGGAAUGCUUUACACAUGCAAGUCGAACGGCAGCACGGGGGCAGCCCUGGUGGCGAGUGGCGAACGGGUGAGUAAUACAUCGGAACGUGCCCGGUCGUGGGGGAUAACGUAGCGAAAGUUACGCUAAUACCGCAUACGAUCUGAGGAUGAAAGCGGGGGACCUUCGGGCCUCGCGCGAUCGGAGCGGCCGAUGUCAGAUUAGGUAGUUGGUGGGGUACAGGCCUACCAAGCCGACGAUCUGUAGCUGGUCUGAGAGGACGACCAGCCACACUGGGACUGAGACACGGCCCAGACUCCUACGGGAGGCAGCAGUGGGGAAUUUUGGACAAUGGGCGCAAGCCUGAUCCAGCCAUUCCGCGUGCAGGACGAAGGCCUUCGGGUUGUAAACUGCUUUUGUACGGAACGAAAAGGCUCUGGCUAAUACCUGGGGCUCAUGACGGUACCGUAAGAAUAAGCACCGGCUAACUACGUG
rnacentral:rRNA from 1 species